rnacentral:lncRNA from 1 species
CUCACACCUCGCUCGUACCCCUGAAAGGAAAACAAAUGGAGUGGAAUGAGCUAAAAGCCCAGUGAGGUUCCAAAUAGCAAAUUGACCAUUAUUUAUAAGUACGAGUUUUCGAUAUAGCAAAGUAACGAGCAUAAAGUGUUCAUAAAUGUGAACAGUAACACGUCAAGUAGAAAUCUUAAAAUGGGCGAAUGUAAAAAUUUUUCAAAAGAAACAAUAAUCCAAUAAACAAUAAUCACUCCAAAGUAUAAGGAUACGGAUGACUCUCAGGAGCCAAAUUCCCAUGGCAUUACCAGAAGCUUGAUCCCGUAGUAGUUGACACUCCGUCAACUUUCAAGUAAGUAACCAAUCCAGUAGAACACCACUUACACGACUCUCCGUCCACCGUUCAACCCCCAGCUGGGCCCAAAAUCCUCAAGAACACGGGUGGUAAUACUCGAGUAUACCGAUUAGCCGAGGAGAUAUCACUCCACUCGACGAUACAAGAGACCCAGGGUUCGUUACCCAAUCGACCAAGCCCUUGCCGGCUCGACUAGAGUAACUCGCCACAGGGUUUCUGGAAUUCCAGGAAGUGCGCGCAUCAUAAACAAGUAUAUCAAGUCAAUUGCAACAAUAAACAAGUAUAUCACGUAAGGGCAAGUGCGAUAAAGUACACACUUGCCCUUACAAUUCACGUAUAUAACAUGUAAUCAGAUUGGUCACGUAUCAAGUUCAAGUAUCAAGUUCAAUUCGGUAUUUGAAAGCACUCACCCAAAAGAUAUAGUGCUACUGGUCACUUUCAGGUUAUACUCCGAGUUCGGAGUCCAAAUCUGCGAUAAAACUCAAUUUGAGAACUUUGAAACAUGACUAGAGUUCGAAACUUAAACGUUUCGUUCAAUAAGAAUCAAGAAUUGAAAUUCACUUAGAGAAUACUCGUGAGAUACUCGCUCACUUUUUAAAUGAUAAAACUUUGUAACAUUUAUACUUGAAAUGGUCAUGCGAGUCGAAAGUACAAGGGAAAACGUACUUUGAGCAAUCAUUAUUUCAUUUCUCAAGGGUACAAGUUCGGUCAAGUCCUUACUUAUACCUCGAACAAGAAGACUCAAGUACCCUAGAUGGUUCAAGUACUAUUCAUAUCAACUCGACCCAAGUCGCAAGUGUAUUUAUAUAGUCCUCGAGCGUAAAUUUGGGCAGCAUGCCCUUUGUGUUUACCUAAUUUUCCAGCCAUUUAGGCUUCAUUAUUUUUCUUCAACACCACCCAACAUCACACAUAAAAACAAUUCAAGCCAAGAGCCGUUCCAUAGGCUCACAAUAUCAUAAUAAUAAGAUUCACAACGAUAGCAAGUGUAGAAAUUCAAUCUAGCACAAAACAGAUUUGAUGUAUGAAAGCGGAAAUAACUUAUCCGAAGCUACACUUAUCGGAUUAAGGCAAAACCUAUGCUGUUUCGAAGCUAAGAUACAGAGCUACAACAUUCAUGAAGGUCACUUAGUCCAUUUCCUAAUGUAACUUAGUCAAAUUCUCAAAUUACUAAACCAGAAACCAAUUCGUCGGCUGUUUAAACGCAGAACACUAUAAUGGUCAUAACUCAGUGUACACAAGUCCAAAUCAUGUGUUCUUAGAGGCAUUUUAAAGCUACUUCAGAACACUACAACUUUCAUGUUUUGGCCCAGAGCUAAAUCAGAAUGGAUCCUGGUCAAAAAUCGUGAUAAACUGGACUGAACUGAAGAAACGGACUGCUGGGAAAUUCUUAAAACAGCAAGGGUAUUUUGGACUUUUCACGACCUCCGUUGCUCCGAUUGAGCUGAAAUUUUAUAGGCACCUAUAAAAUGCCAUUCUCUACAACUUUCCUUCUUUGACCAAAGGCCAAAUCGGCCUCUAAAAUAUAGAUACAAUUUCGGACAGAAUGCUUGGGAAAUUUUCCAGAAAUCUGGAAUUUUUAGCUCUAAGUGUAAUUUCCUCAAAUUUCUGGUUCUAAUCACCACUAAACAACCUUAUAUAACCUUAAUUGCAACAUUUACACAUCAUACAUCACAUUGAGCAGAAAAUCAGAACCCCUAGUUCAUCAAAUAAAUUGGGGAAAACCUCUAAAUCAUGCUAAUCAUCCAUGAUUCCACCACUAUAAUCAAACUACUAACUUAAUUUAACAAAAUCAAAAGCAAAACUUAGAGAGAUGAGUUCUCUUACCUUGGUUAGAAGUCUCUAAAAGCAGCCCCAAGCUUUCCUUUUCCAAACUUUCACCACCAAACACUAGCUAAUCACUCAAGGAGAAGAUUAAUCGGUUUAGAAUUUUUGUUUCUUACUUGGAUGGUGUAAAUCAAGAAGAAAAUGGUUGUUUCUUGCUCUCCCUUUUCUCUCUCUCUUGCUCGGCUGUGA